rnacentral:misc_RNA from 1 species
AUUUCAACUAAUUACAUCAAUACAAAACACACUCAAAACACGCUAUAAGUUCAAAUUUCAUUCAAAGCCUCACAAAUCGCAAUUAUAAGCAAUUUAACAAAUAAAUAAUUUAAAAAAAGAACUCAUUCACGAAAUACCGAAAAGCUAUAAUAUAAUAUACAAACAAGAUGAGAGUAAGAAGACCUAGAGGCUAGUAGCGAAGGAAGGCAAGGCUUCAACGGCGAGGACAUGCAAGAAAUUCUCUAGCAAACGAUCGACAACGGUUGGAAGACAUGGAGAAUACUUGAUUUCAAUGCAAACAAAAAGCUUCAAUGGCAGUCGAUUUGAGGGAUUGUCUUCGUUAACAGGAAGACAUGCAAGAAAUCCUCUGACAAACAACUGACGAGAUGAUUGGAGGAUGGAGAAGAGACACAAGAUGGAGAAGAAGAAAUGAGCAGAAAGGAAUAAAGGAGGUAGGGAUUUUGAUUUGAGGCGAUGUUUUCGUGGACUGGAUGAAAAAGAAGUAAGAAGAAACAGUUAAAGAAGAAGGUUGAGGCAAA